AAUGUAUCUCAAAAUAAUAAAAGCUAUUUGUGACAAACCCACAGCCAAUAUCAUACUGAAUGGGCAAAAACUGGAAAUAAUCUCUGAAAACUGGCACUAGACAAGCAUGCGCUCUCUCAAAACUCCUAUACAAUAUAGUAUUGGAAGUUCUAGCCAGAGCAAUCAGGCAAGAAAAAGAAAUAAAGGGCAUUCAAAUAGGAAAGGAGGA